AGCUACCUGGCGCAAUGGUAGCGCGUCUGGCUUUGAGCCAAAGGGUUGUAGAUUCGAGUCCUGCGGUGGUAG
rnacentral:tRNA from 1 species